AUAUAUAUAUAUAUAUAUAUAUAUAUGUAUCUUUUCAGCAGAUUUUUCUGUGCAUAGAUACAAAGUAAUAAAAUAAACUAUAGCAAAGUCUUACCGUCUGUACAAAUUGAUGGAGAAAGAAACUGAUAGAACUGCUGAGCAGAUGAUCAGAUUAUGGUGAGGCAAGGAAGGGAAUUAAUUGGACAGAUAGGAUUGUGGGAGCCAGAUCAGGAAACUGGUGACAUUGACUAUAUAACAAUGUGUGACCGCCACAGAGCCAUGCGUUCUCUCACAAAUGCAAACAUUGCCAUUUCUCUGGUAACAGCAAUGUUUACAUUAACAGAAUAAAAGGACAACAUCUAUAAGCACCAAGACCACUAAAUCUUAAUGUAGUGGUUUUGGUCUACAAUGUCCCUUUCAGUUGUUACAUUUACCGGUAUGUCUUGUCCACCAUUGAACAGCGAAUACAAUAUGUUG